rnacentral:rRNA from 1 species
AUUGAACGCUGGCGGCAGGCCUAACACAUGCAAGUCGAGCGAGCGGCGGACGGGUGAGUAAUGUCUGGGAAACUGCCUGAUGGAGGGGGAUAACUACUGGAAACGGUAGCUAACACCGCAUACCAUCAGAAGUGCCCAGAUGGGAUUCGCUAGUAGGUGGGGUAACGGCGCACCUAGGCGACGAUCCCUAGCUGGUCUGAGAGGAUGACCGGCCACCCUGGAACUGAGACACGGGCCGGACUCCGACGGGAGGCAGCAGUGGGGAAUAGUGCACAGUGGGCGCAAGCCUGAUGCAGCCAUGCCGAGUGUGUGAAGAAGGCCUUCGGGUUGUAAAGCACUUGCAGCGGGGAGGCGUUACCCGCAGAAGAAGCACCGGCUAACUCCGUGCCAGCAGCCGCGGUAAUUC